UCCAGUAAAGAGCGACAUAAGGAAACACAUCAGAACAUGUUGAAAAUCAAAGAAAGCUUCGAAAUAACUUUAACAAAAAUCGAAAUCGGAAAAGAUAAAGGGGUUUCAAAGGUAAAGUUUAAAAGAAACCUUGAGAAAAAUGUUUAGGAGUUUAGAGCAAACACAGAUCUAAAACAAACCUAAAAGAUCAGAAGAACCUUAAAGGUUAGGGUUUCAGAAGAACCCUAGAUGAUGAGAAAGGCUUGGAAAAUCAUCGACCUAAGCAGGAGAAGUCAAGAAUCAGGCUUGAAUAGCAUGGCUGGCAGGAGCAAAGUCAAAGAUGACCGGAGACAGUCUUAUAACUAAAAUAAACCAAGGUUUGGACCCAAAUUUUCCAGGAUCUAGCAUUGAAACCAUGAUAAUCGGGCACAUAGAAGCCAAGUAAGGUAGAUACAGGCAUCCAAUGGCUUUGGAAGCCAUUGAUUUGGGUGGUUUUAUGGUGGUAGUUGAGGGUGGAGGCUAGGGUUUGAGAGGGGGUUGAGAAAGAAUUGAGAGAGAAAGGGAUUCAGAGGCAG
rnacentral:lncRNA from 1 species